GUGCUCACUUCGGCAGCACAUAUACGAAAAUUGGAACGAUGUAGAGAAGAUUAACAAGGCUCCUGUGCAAGGACAGCACACAAAUUUGUGAAGCGUUCCAUAUUAAA
rnacentral:snRNA from 1 species